AACGAACGCUGGCGGCAGGCCUAACACAUGCAAGUCGAACGCCCUAGCAAUAGGGAGUGGCGCACGGGUGCGUAACGCGUGGGAAUAUGCCCUUCACUGCGGAAUAACGUUUGGAAACGAACGCUAAUACCGCAUAAUGACUCCGGUCCAAAGAUUUAUCGGUGAAGGAUUAGCCCGCGUUAGAUUAGCUAGUUGGUGAGGUAAUGGCUCACCAAGGCGACGAUCUAUAGCUGGUCUGAGAGGAUGAUCAGCCACACUGGGACUGAGACACGGCCCAGACUCCUACGGGAGGCAGCAGUGAGGAAUAUUGGACAAUGGGCGCAAGCCUGAUCCAGCCAUGCCGCGUGAGUGAAGAAGGCCUUCGGGUUGUAAAGCUCUUUCUAGAUGUGAAGAUAAUGACGGUAGCAUCAGAAGAAGCCCCGGGCUAAAUUACGUGCCAGCAGCCGCGGUAAU
rnacentral:rRNA from 1 species